GACGAACGCUGGCGGCGUGCCUAAUACAUGCAAGUAGAACGCACAGUUUAUACCGUAGCUUGCUACACCAUAGACUGUGAGUUGCGAACGGGUGAGUAACGCGUAGGUAACCUGCCUGGUAGCGGGGGAUAACUAUUGGAAACGAUAGCUAAUACCGCAUAAUAUUGAUUAUUGCAUGAUAAUUGAUUGAAAGAUGCUAUUACAUCACUACCAGAUGGACCUGCGUUGUAUUAGCUAGUAGGUGAGGUAACGGCUCACCUAGGCGACGAUACAUAGCCGACCUGAGAGGGUGAUCGGCCACACUGGGACUGAGACACGGCCCAGACUCCUACGGGAGGCAGCAGUAGGGAAUCUUCGGCAAUGGACGAAAGUCUGACCGAGCAACGCCGCGUGAGUGAAGAAGGUUUUCGGAUCGUAAAGCUCUGUUGUAAGAGAAGAACGGGUGUGAGAGUGGAAAGUUCACACUGUGACGGUAUCUUACCAGAAAGGGACGGCUAACUACGUG
rnacentral:rRNA from 1 species